CCACCGGGAUGUUCAUAACCCUUUGCUGUCCGACUCUGUUGCCUCCGGGGCGACCCUGCCUUCGGGCGGGGGCUCCGGGUGGACACUUCAAACUCUUGCGUAACUUUGCAGUCUGAGUAAACUUAAUUAAUAAAUUAAAACUUUUAACAACGGAUCUCUUGGUUCUGGCAUCGAUGAAGAACGCAGCGAAAUGCGAUAAGUAAUGUGAAUUGCAGAAUUCAGUGAAUCAUCGAAUCUUUGAACGCACAUUGCGCCCCCUGGUAUUCCGGGGGGCAUGCCUGUUCGAGCGUCAUUUCACCACUCAAGCCUCGCUUGGUAUUGGGCAACGCGGUCCGCCGCGUGCCUCAAAUCGACCGGCUGGGUCUUCUGUCCCCUAAGCGUUGUGGAAACUAUUCGCUAAAGGGUGUUCGGGAGGCUACGCCGUAAAACAACCCCAUUUCUAAGGUUGACCUCGGAUCAGGUAGGGAUACCCGCUGAACUUAAGCAUAUCAUA
rnacentral:rRNA from 1 species